GCGGGGUUAGUUAAAUGGUAUAACCUGACACUUCCAAUGUCAUGUCGAGGGUUCGAUUCCCUUACCCCGCU
rnacentral:tRNA from 1 species